rnacentral:lncRNA from 1 species
GCCUCCACUGUCACUGCUGCUGCUGCAGUGUUGCCCAGAGUUGCACUGAAGAGCCGAGUGGGGCUCUGGAACCUCACAUCAAACGGGGCUCUGUGAUCUCAUGACGAAGUGGAAUCUUAACUCAGCUCAACAUCUGAUCCUUAGUCCUUUGCCAGUGCUCCCCAAUGUAUGCCCAUAUUGGCUGUCAACUCCUGCACCUCACCUCUAUUCAAUUCCCUCAUUCUGCACAGGCCUGGAUGGAGCACCAGUAGAGAAUGGUGCAGCCCAUGUUUUCCCACAAGCUGCCCUCUGGAUUGCCUGGCUCUCUGGGGGCAGCCCACUCUUGUCACAGUGCCAGGAGAUGGCCGGAAAGGAAAACGUCUGGUGCUGCAACAUCAUAUGAAGGCUCCAUUAAAAAACCCAACUUGUUUUGGCACGUUCACUGUUUCCUACUAAUACAAGCAGAAAAAUAAACUUGAUGUUUGAAUCA